UUGAACGCUGGCGGAAUGCUUUACACAUGCAAGUCGAGCGGCAGCGCGGGGCAACCUGGCGGCGAGCGGCGAACGGGUGAGUAACAUAUCGGAACGUACCCUAUCGUGGGGGAUAACACAUCGAAAGAUGUGCUAAUACCGCAUACGACCUGAGGGUGAAAGCGGGGGCUCGCAAGACCUCGCGCGAUUGGAGUGGCCGAUAUCUGAUUAGCUAGAUGGUGAGGUAAAGGCUCACCAUGGCGACGAUCAGUAGCUGGUCUGAGAGCAUGAUCAGCCACACUGGGACUGAGACACGGCCCAGACUCCUACGGGAGGCAGCAGUGGGGAAUUUUGGACAAUGGGGGGAAACCCUGAUCCAGCCAUUCCGCGUGAGUGAAGAAGGCCUUCGGGUUGUAAAGCUCUUUCAGGAGGGAAGAAACGGUUACGGAUAAUACCUGUGACUAAUGACGGUACCUUCAGAAGAAGCACCGGCUCACUACGU
rnacentral:rRNA from 1 species